AUGCUAGAAGGCCCCCUCCCAGUAAAAGUACUCUCGAACCAGUGCCUGGGUCUCCUUGCUGCCAGGAUCCAGUUUCCACUAUGUAUAUGACUUGUAGUCUCACCUGCCAAUCUGGACUCAGCGAAAAGGGAAGCUCCUGGCCCUGGAAGACCCAGACUCAGAGCUGCUGUUGUUGGUUCCAAAGAAGACACUGACAAAAACAUUCUUCCACAGCUUGGCCAGUCACUAGAAUAUUCCAGUGAUGAGAUUGCAACUCAUGAAGAUCUGGGUGAGUUCUUCAAGGAAGUGAUACUCUGAGAACCACAGGAACCAGCUGUCCUUAUUGAACUGCUCCCAAAAAUAUGGCAGCACCACAGAGAGUGUGUCCUCCUUAGAGUACCUGCACUGAAAUUUAUCCAACACAAAGGUACUCUUGGAUGGUUUUCGACAGAGGGAGACAACUAGACAUUAUGAGUCUCUUGAUGGAAGAACAUACUUCUAAAGUUCUGCCCCCACAAAACCAAACCUGAAUCUGAUCUUGCCUUUACACACAGCUACCUGUUUAUAGGAAAUACAGAGGACAGAGGGAUAUUUUGCACUAUACCAAGAGGAUGCAAAGACAAAAACAAGAACAAACUAGUAAUGGCUUGUGGGAAACUUGAUGGAUCAAAUUUCCUUUAACAAAUAGAAAGGGGUAAGAGUGGGGGGUGAGGGAGAGAAAACCUAUAAACAAAGAGACAUAUGAAACUAAAAGGCAUAUGAAAUAAAUUAAAGAACAGGCACAGGUAAAUUAUAUUGUUCAGGGAUUUAUCCUGGGUGAUAAAACUAAAGAAUUGCAAGGAAGCAAUUGUAAAGACACAUGCAUGCAUAUGUUCACUGCAGCAAUAUUCACAGUAGCAAAGACCUGGAAUCAACCUAAAUGCCCAUCAAUGAUAGACUGGAUAAGGAAAAAUUGGUACAAACACACCAUGGAAUACUAUGCAACCUUAAAAAAGAAUAAGCUUAUCUUCUUUGAAGGGACAUGGAUGGAGCUGAAGGCUAUUAUCCUUAGCAAACUAGCACAGGAACAGAAAACCAAAUACUGCGUGUUCUCACUUGUAACUGGGAGCUAGAUCAUGAGAACACAUGGGCACUCAGAGGGGAACAACACACACUGGGACCUACUGGAGGGUGUAGGGUGGGAGAAAAGAGAGGAUCAGGAAAAUAACUGAUGGGUACUAGGCUUAAUACCUGGGUGAUAAAAAUAAUCUGUACAACAAACCCCCAUGACACGAGUUCACCUAUGUAACAAACCUGCACUUGUACCCAUGAACUUAAAAGUUAAAAAAAUGUGAGAGUAGUGGUCUUGUUUGGAGAGUGUGUUUGUGUAGUGAUUGAGAUGGGGCACACAGAAGGGCUUCUCAUGUAGAUGCAAGUUCUAGUUCAUGACAUAGGUGUAAUUACAGAAGGGUUUGACUUAGAGUAAUUCACUAAAUUAUAUUUUCGUUUCAUGAGUCUUUGUAUAUCCUUGUUUUAUAUUAGAAGAAAGAAAGCUUUUAGAAACGAGGAGAAGCAUACUCACAAUCUGGAAGCCCCUCAACCUCCCUCCAUCCCCCCACAUACACAUGCUUACCUCCUCUGUUUAGCCUCGAGGCAGUGCUAGUCUCCAGGAAAGAAUACAUCUUUGGAAUUCAGAGACCUGGCUUUGAAUUCCAGUAGAGUACUUAUUAGUUCUAGGGUGACCAACCCCUUUUAGUUUGUCUGGGGCUGAGGGGAUUCUUGGGAUGCAAGACUUCCAGUGCUAGACCCAGGAAAAUCCCAAGCAAACUUGGACAGUUGGUCACUCUGAGUUACCCCCUGAGCCUCAAAUCUCUUACUUGUAAAUGGGGACAUGAAUCCCUACGGUGUUGAAUUAUGAGGAUUAAAGAAAAUGAGAGAUAUGAAAACCCUGAAUAUACUGUUAUCAGACUGUAAAAACUUCAGCUCAAUUUUGCUCAUCAAUUACUAAACACAUAUAAUUAUAGCUACCACAUGUAACAUUCACUAAGUGAGGCAGGCUUCUAAGUCCUUGCUACACAAAGUAUGGUCCUUGGAUCAGCACCACUGGAAUAACCCAGAAGCUUGUAAGAAACAUAGUUUUUCAGACCCCACCCCAGACCUGCUGAAUCAGAAUCUGUGCUUUAACAGGAUCCUCACAUAUUUCGUGUGCAUGUUACUGUCUGAGGAGCACUGCUCUCAGCAUGUGAAGAAACUCAUUUAAUCCUUAAGACAAUUAUUUGGUUCACAUUCUGAUUCCAGAACCUCACCCAGUCUUAGAGUUCCAGUACCCAGCACAAGACCUGGCUCGAGGUAAUGAUCCUGAAUAAAUGUAUAUUUUAUUCCUUUUCCUGUCUGGAAGAGUUGGGAGAGGGCUGCCAAGGGCAAGAUCAUGUCUGGGAAGGAUUUACAUUCCAUAGGGUUUAGAGGGACUUGAACUCCUGAGUCCUGGGGCUUUAUCUGUUUCAAGUUUAUGGUGGAACAGAGUGAGAAUCUGGAUUCCUUAUUCCAAAGCUCUGCAGCCAUUUCUAGUCCAUUAAUUCACUCAAUUCUUCCUCUGCAAGAAUUGAGUGAGAAUAAGGAAAUCACCGGUUUGAUGACCCAACCUUCUCUUUUGAUAAAUGGGUGUGUAUGUGGUUGCAAAAGAGCCAGGAGGACCCUGAAUGGGGGAACAGCCUUGAGAGCCAACAGCCAGGGAAGAGCUGGUGCCGUUUGUAAAUCAGUGAAUGGAUUGCUCUGGGUAUGUUUUGAAAGCUCUUGCUCCCCUUCUGGGUUCCUCAGCACUUGCCCAGAGGGAAUCAUUAAUUAGCCUGAUCACCUUAAUUAAAACUCCCCAACAAUUUUAUUGGGGAUUUAUAUCUAUUUGCAAAAAGCUCAGUUUUCAGCCAUUAGGUGCAAUGAGCUAAACUCUGAGUCAUAGUGGACUCUAGAUUCCAUCAACACCACCAGGGCUGAGCAAUGCAUGGAUGACUUUGAAGGUUUUAUGUACGUAGAAUAAUUAUUACUACCAACCACCAUUACCACCACUACCAUUACUACCACCAUUACUAAAUAACAGCAGCUACUGCUACUAUACACCAGGCACUGUGCAAAGUUUUUAAAAUGCAUUAUUUUAUUUCAUCUUUACAGCUGUCCUAUGAAGUAAGAAUUAUUAUCCCUAUUUCAUAAAUGCAGCAAUAGAAAUUUCAAAAGAUUAAGUAACAUGCUCAGUAGCAGAGCUAGUGAAUGUCACAGCUGGGAUUUGAAUACAGUUAGAGUCCAUGUCCUUAACCACUGCCUCCCAAGAUGCCAAGGUUUUAUUAUGCUUCUCUCACUUUUGUGACCUCAUGGCAUUCCCAUGAAGAUCUUUCUCAACCCUUUCAUUGGUAAAGGGAUUGUAUGUGUUGAAAUGUUUUUUUGCAACAAAUACCUGAGUACGUGUCUCUAUCUGGCUUAAACUAUCAAGAAAUAUGUCACCUUACAUUAUUGAAUAAUCAUCCAGAGUAAGGUAGGCAUCAGAGAGUGUAUCAUCACAGUGGCUCUGGAGCUGUGCCUCUGUGAUCACUCUGGCUGGAUUUUUGCCUGCGUGGAGACUUCAUCCUCAGAGGGGCUUCUCUCAUGGUGCUAGUGUGGCUAUAGCCACCCUGGGCUUUGCUUCCAUAUGCCAGAGGAAAACAAAGGAGUGAUUACUAGGAAUGCUUUUUUUUACAGUGAGAAAAUUUCCCUGCCUGAAACCUUCUGAAAUCCACACUCAUGUCUUAAAGUCCUGAAUUUGUUCAUCUGCACAUCCCUGAACUAAUUCCUUAGAUCGAGGAGAUGCCAUGAGCUGGAAAAGGCAUGGAAAAAUUAAAAGUAUACUUUUGUUAUAGGUAGGCAUAGGAUUAAGCUGGUUGGGUUAAAAACAAUAAGAGCAUCAUCCCCACCCUCAACCCCUAGAUUGGAGUAACAUUUCUCCCAGACUUCCUGGAAACUGCAUAGUAGAUAUAGGAUGAAAAAGAUGUUGGGAAGAGAAUCAAAAUGUCUCAUUACUCCUUCCUCCUCCUGCUGGGUCCUAUUUUCUUGGCGGAUACUAGGCAACUAACUAGAGCUAUGUAGAUGGCCUUGGUGUGCUACAUUAUAGUGGUUGGGGUAGACCUGUGAGUUGCUGUUCUCUUAUAACGUGGAAAUUCUAUGGUCUUAACUUGAACUGGAACCAUGGAUAAACUCUUGACACUGUAGCAGUGGGUGAGUUAUCUUCAGAAAAAAGCCCUUCUGAUGUCUCUCAUUGCACAAACGUUUCCGGAUGGUUAAAACAAACUUAGUAGUCUUGUAGGAAGAACACUAAACUAGGGUUCAGAAGAAUAAACAAAAUGACUCCUGUAAAGGACCUCACCGAGCCUGGCAUGUAGUAGGUGCUGGCAUAUAGGAGGUGCUGAGUAGGUCAGCCAUGUAAAACAUCAUUACAUCCAUACAGAUCUGUUUACCAGCUCACGGUCUUGGUCAGGUCACUUAAAUUCUUGGAGCUUCAGUUUUCAUAUUAAAAGGUUUGGUUGCUCUUACCUAUAAAAUGGAAACAGUACCAUCUUGCAGCAUCUUGGGUGGGUUAUUUUGUGGUUUAGAUGAAUAAAGGUGGUGGAUGUGUUUGUAAUCAGUAAUGUAAUGCUCAAAAGAGAGUAGCAGCAGGGUGCUUUGUCAAUGCUUUAUUUUGAGGAAUAAAUUAAUAUUUUCAAUAAAUGUUAUUGAGUAUUUACUAUUAACUCAAA